rnacentral:rRNA from 1 species
GUCCACGCAGUAAACGAUGAAUACUAACUGUUUGCGAUACAAUGUAAGCGGUACAGCGAAAGCGUUAAGUAUUCCACCUGGGGAGUACGCCGGCAACGGUGAAACUCAAAGGAAUUGACGGGGGCCCGCACAAGCGGAGGAACAUGUGGUUUAAUUCGAUGAUACGCGAGGAACCUUACCCGGGCUCAAACGCAGGGGGAAUAUAUAUGAAAGUAUAUAGCUAGCAAUAGUCACCUGCGAGGUGCUGCAUGGUUGUCGU